rnacentral:rRNA from 1 species
UACGAAGGGGGCGAGCGUUGUUCGGAAUUACUGGGCGUAAAGGGCGCGUAGGCGGCCCCUUUUGUCGCGUGUGAAAGCCCCGGGCUCAACCUGGGAGGUGCGCGCGAAACGGGGGGGCUUGAGUUCGGGAGAGGAGCGUGGAAUUCCCAGUGUAGAGGUGAAAUUCGUAGAUAUUGGGAAGAACACCGGUGGCGAAGGCGGCUCACUGGCUCGUAACUGACGCUCAUGCACGACAGCGUGGGGAUCAAACAGG